rnacentral:lncRNA from 1 species
ACUCUGUCUUUAGGGCCUGCCUUUAACUAAGCAGGAGCUCAAGACAGCGUAAGUUUCAAAGACAUUAUGAUGCUUUUACAGAAGUCCCUUUCAAAAACAACUUCUGUAUGAGAAGGUAAACUCUGCUAUUCAAGAGAAUGAUACUUACAGUCACAGGCAUUAAAAUAUGGUAUUAGACGGCCCAAAGGAAAAGGAGAAGAAAUAGAUGAGUCUGAAUGCAUGUCAGGAAGAUAGGAAUUGGGGGCUGAAAGAGAAAGGGGCAGAUAAAUGGUUAGAAAAAAUUUAAUGAGGAAGUCUGGAAAGAAAAGAGAACAAAACACCGAUACAAUCCAAAUCCAGAAAUCCAAAUGAGAAUAAUGUCAAAAACAAUGAGUGGACUCACGCAAAAGCUGCAAGAAAAUCUACCUGAAGCUAUGGUUUAGACUUUCGAGAAUAAGAACAAGAGGAUCUGUUUCAUUAAACGAAUAAUACUUUAUCAAUUUGUAGGCAUAUGGUUUAGUGUAACACAGACACUCCC